rnacentral:rRNA from 1 species
CCUACGGGUGGCUGCAGUGGGGAAUAUUGCACAAUGGGCGAAAGCCUGAUGCAGCAACGCCGCGUGAAGGAAGAAGGGUUUCGGCUCGUAAACUUCUAUCAACAGGGACGAAAGAAAUGACGGUACCUGAAUAAGAAGCCCCGGCUAACUACGUGCCAGCAGCCGCGGUAAUACGUAGGGGGCAAGCGUUAUCCGGAAUUACUGGGUGUAAAGGGUGAGUAGGCGGCAUGGUAAGCCAGAUGUGAAAGCCUUGGGCUUAACUCAGGUGCUGCUUCUAAAACUGCUAUACUUGAGUGCAGUAGAGGAAAGUGGAAUUCCUAGUGUAGCGGUGGAAUGCGUAGAUAUUAGGAGGAACAUCAGUGGCGAAGGCGACUUUCUGGACUGUAACUGACGCUGAGGCACGAAAGUGUGGGGAGCAAACAGGAUUAGAUACCCUGGUAGUC